rnacentral:rRNA from 1 species
GGGUGAGUAAUGCCUAGGAAAUUGCCCUGAUGUGGGGGAUAACCAUUGGAAACGAUGGCUAAUACCGCAUAAUGCCUACGGGCCAAAGAGGGGGACCUUCGGGCCUCUCGCGUCAGGAUAUGCCUAGGUGGGAUUAGCUAGUUGGUGAGGUAAUGGCUCACCAAGGCGACGAUCCCUAGCUGGUCUGAGAGGAUGAUCAGCCACACUGGAACUGAGACACGGUCCAGACUCCUACGGGAGGCAGCAGUGGGGAAUAUUGCACAAUGGGCGCAAGCCUGAUGCAGCCAUGCCGCGUGUGUGAAGAAGGCCUUCGGGUUGUAAAGCACUUUCAGUCGUGAGGAAGGUGGUAGUGUUAAUAGCACUAUCAUUUGACGUUAGCGACAGAAGAAGCACCGGCUAACUCCGUGCCAGCAGCCGCGGUAAUACGGAGGGUGCGAGCGUUAAUCGGAAUUACUGGGCGUAAAGCGCAUGCAGGUGGUUUGUUAAGUCAGAUGUGAAAGCCCGGGGCUCAACCUCGGAAUAGCAUUUGAAACUGGCAGACUAGAGUACUGUAGAGGGGGGUAGAAUUUCAGGUGUAGCGGUGAAAUGCGUAGAGAUCUGAAGGAAUACCGGUGGCGAAGGCGGCCCCCUGGACAGAUACUGACACUCAGAUGCGAAAGCGUGGGGAGCAAACAGGAUUAGAUACCCUGGUAGUCCACGCCGUAAACGAUGUCUACUUGGAGGUUGUGGCCUUGAGCCGUGGCUUUCGGAGCUAACGCGUUAAGUAGACCGCCUGGGGAGUACGGUCGCAAGAUUAAAACUCAAAUGAAUUGACGGGGGCCCGCACAAGCGGUGGAGCAUGUGGUUUAAUUCGAUGCAACGCGAAGAACCUUACCUACUCUUGACAUCCAGAGAACUUUUCAGAGAUGGAUUGGUGCCUUCGGGAACUCUGAGACAGGUGCUGCAUGGCUGUCGUCAGCUCGUGUUGUGAAAUGUUGGGUUAAGUCCCGCAACGAGCGCAACCCUUAUCCUUGUUUGCCAGCGAGUAAUGUCGGGAACUCCAGGGAGACUGCCGGUGAUAAACCGGAGGAAGGUGGGGACGACGUCAAGUCAUCAUGGCCCUUACGAGUAGGGCUACACACGUGCUACAAUGGCGCAUACAGAGGGCAGCCAACUUGCGAAAGUGAGCGAAUCCCAAAAAGUGCGUCGUAGUCCGGAUUGGAGUCUGCAACUCGACUCCAUGAAGUCGGAAUCGCUAGUAAUCGUGGAUCAGAAUGCCACGGUGAAUACGUUCCCGGGCCUU